UACGGAGGGUGCAAGCGUUACUCGGAAUUACUGGGCGUAAAGCGCACGCAGGCGGUUGGAUAAGUUAGAUGUGAAAGCCCCGGGCUCAACCUGGGAAUUGCAUUUAAAACUGUUCAGCUAGAGUCUUGUAGAGGGGGGUAGAAUUCCAGGUGUAGCGGUGAAAUGCGUAGAGAUCUGGAGGAAUACCGGUGGCGAAGGCGGCCCCCUGGACAAAGACUGACGCUCAGGUGCGAAAGCGUGGGGAGCAAACAGG
rnacentral:rRNA from 1 species